rnacentral:rRNA from 1 species
AACGAACGCUGGCGGCAGGCUUAACACGUGCAAGUCGAGCGCCCCGCAAGGGGAGCGGCAGACGGGUGAGUAACGCGUGGGAACGUACCUUUUGGUUCGGAACAACUCCGGGAAACUGGAGCUAAUACCGGAUAAGCCCUAACGGGGAAAGAUUUAUCGCCGAAAGAUCGGCCCGCGUCUGAUUAGCUAGUUGGUGAGGUAACGGCUCACCAAGGCGACGAUCAGUAGCUGGUCUGAGAGGAUGAUCAGCCACACUGGGAGUGAGACACGGCCCAGACUCCUACGGGAGGCAGCAGUGGGGAAUAUUGGACAAUGGGCGCAAGCCUGAUCCAGCCAUGCCGCGUGAGUGAUGAAGGCCUUAGGGUUGUAAAGCUCUUUUGUCCGGGAAGAUAAUGACUGUACCGGAAGAAUAAGCCCCGGCUAACUUCGUG